GCUCGUCUGGGCGAGGGUAAAUAGUAAUUUGGCCCAGAGCGUCUUGGCCGGAAGUUACCGACCGGGGGUUUAG
rnacentral:ribozyme from 1 species